ACGGGAGGCAGCAGUGGGGAAUCUUGCGCAAUGGGCGAAAGCCUGACGCAGCAACGCCGCGUGGGGGAUGACGGCCUUCGGGUUGUAAACCUCUUUCGACAGGGACGAAGCUUUCGGGUGACGGUACCUGUAGAAGAAGCACCGGCUAACUACGUGCCAGCAGCCGCGGUAAUACGUAGGGUGCGAGCGUUGUCCGGAUUUAUUGGGCGUAAAGAGCUCGUAGGCGGUUUGUCGCGUCGGCCGUGAAAACCUGCAGCUUAACUGUGGACGUGCGGUCGAUACGGGCAGACUUGAGUUCGGCAGGGGAGACUGGAAUUCCUGGUGUAGCGGUGAAAUGCGCAGAUAUCAGGAAGAACACCGGUGGCGAAGGCGGGUCUCUGGGCCGAUACUGACGCUGAGGAGCGAAAGCAUGGGGAGCGAACAGGAUUAGAUACCCUGGUAGUCCAUGCCGUAAACGUUGGGCGCUAGGUGUGGGGAUGGGUUCCACCGUUUCCGUGCCGUAGCUAACGCAUUAAGCGCCCCGCCUGGGGAGUACGGCCGCAAGGCUAAAACUCAAAGGAAUUGAC
rnacentral:rRNA from 1 species